rnacentral:rRNA from 1 species
CACGUAGGCGGAUAUUUAAGUCAGGGGUGAAAUCCCAGAGCUCAACUCUGGAACUGCCUUUGAUACUGGGUAUCUUGAGUAUGGAAGAGGUAAGUGGAAUUCCGAGUGUAGAGGUGAAAUUCGUAGAUAUUCGGAGGAACACCAGUGGCGAAGGCGGCUUACUGGUCCAUUACUGACGCUGAGGUGCGAAAGCGUGGGGGGCAAACA